UUUCUGUAUCAGCGUAUCCCAUUUACGGUUAUUUGAUCAUGUUUACUGGCGACUACCUUCAGGUUUGCAUCAGAACAGUGACACCAGCCUUCCAGGGUCUCCAGCUUGCAGAUGGCAGAUCGUGGAUGAGAGGGGAAAUCUGAUCCCUAUUGUCCC